rnacentral:rRNA from 1 species
AUUGAACGCUGGCGGCAGGCCUAACACAUGCAAGUCGAACGGUAGCACAGAGAGCUUGCUCUCGGGUGACGAGUGGCGGACGGGUGAGUAACGUCUGGGAAACUGCCCGAUGGAGGGGGAUAACUACUGGAAACGGUAGCUAAUACCGCAUAACGUCGCAAGACCAAAGUGGGGGACCUUCGGGCCUCACACCAUCAGAUGUGCCCAGAUGGGAUUAGCUAGUAGGUGGGGUAAUGGCUCACCUAGGCGACGAUCCCUAGCUGGUCUGAGAGGAUGACCAGCCACACUGGAACUGAGACACGGUCCAGACUCCUACGGGAGGCAGCAGUGGGGAAUACUGCACAAUGGGCGCAAGCCUGAUGCAGCCAUGCCGCGUGUAUGAAGAAGGCCUUCGGGUUGUAAAGUACUUUCAGCGGGGAGGAAGGCGGUGGAGUUAAUAACUUCACCGAUUGACGUUACCCGCAGAAGAAGCACCGGCUAACUCCGUGCCAGCAGCCGCCGUAA